GUGAACAGCAAUUGGACAUGGGUGAGUCGAUCCUAAGAGAUAGGUUAGUACCGUUCGGAGGAGGGUGGUUUUCGGAUCGCCCCGCCUGUCGAAAGGGAAUCGGGUUAAUAUUCCCGAACCAGGACGUGGAUACCGAGUGGCGACACAAGCGAAGCCGGGGACGGCGGCGCGGGCUCCGACAAGAGUUUUCUUUUCUUGUUAACAGUGUGGGCGGCCCCUGGAA
rnacentral:rRNA from 1 species